AGUAACUAAUAACGUUUUUGCAGCGCACGCAACGGAAGCUCUCAAAAAUGAAUAAUUUUCCCCGUUUUU